UCCUACGGGGCGCAGCAGUGGGGAAUAUUGCACAAUGGGGGGAACCCUGAUGCAGCAACGCCGCGUGAGUGAAGAAGUACCUCGGUAUGUAAAGCUCUAUCAGCAGGGAAGAAAAUGACGGUACCUGACUAAGAAGCACCGGCUAAAUACGUGCCAGCAGCCGCGGUAAUACGUAUGGUGCAAGCGUUAUCCGGAUUUACUGGGUGUAAAGGGAGCGCAGGCGGCGCGGCAAGUCAGCGGUAAAAAUGCGGUGCUCAACGCCGUACAGCCGUUGAAACUGGCAGUCUUGAGUGGGCGAGAAGUAU
rnacentral:rRNA from 1 species